CUACGGGACGCUGCAGUGAGGAAUAUUGCACAAUGGGGGGAACCCUGAUGCAGCAACGCCGCGUGGAGGAUGACGCAUUUCGGUGUGUAAACUCCUUUUAUAUGUCAAGAAAAUGACGGUAGCAUAUGAAUAAGCACCGGCUAACUCCGUGCCAGCAGCCGCGGUAAUACGGAGGGUGCAAACGUUACUCGGAAUCACUGGGCGUAAAGGACGCGUAGGCGGGUUGGAAAGUCAGGUGUGAAAUCCUACAGCUUAACUGUAGAACUGCACUUGAAACUUCUAAUCUAGAGUAUGGGAGGGGGAGAUGGAAUUAGUGGUGUAGGGGUAAAAUCCGUAGAUAUCACUAGGAAUACCUAAAGCGAAGGCGAUCUCCUGGAACAUUACUGACGCUAAGGCGUGAAAGCGUGGGGAGCAGACAGGAUUAGAUACCCUAGUAGUC
rnacentral:rRNA from 1 species